UACAUAUUACAUGAUGUUAAAAUAUGUUAAAAAUGUUGUGUAUUGCAUGCAAUUCCUACAGACAUCAUCAACUACAACAUUUCCAUUUACAUGUUUAACAUUCUGAUCAAGUACAUCUCCUAACAAUGUAACGUAUAGCAUGAAUGUUUCAGAUUUCUUAUCAUCAAUUUCACAUUCAUUUACCCCAAAAGGAAAAAAUAAAUAAAUCAUUAAAGAUAGAAUGAAUAGUAGAUAUCUUGGAAUCAUUCAAAACUAAGGUCAAAUCUCUGCAAUUGGGAUUAAACUUCUCAAAGAAAUUAUAAGUUUUUGAGCUUUCUUUCUCUUGGUACAAAUUAAGAUGAGC
rnacentral:lncRNA from 1 species